rnacentral:rRNA from 1 species
GAUGAACGCUGACAGAAUGCUUAACACAUGCAAGUCUUUGCCAAACUUGGCUGGCCCAGACAAGCCAAGCGGACGGGGUAAGUAAGCGUAAGGAACUGCCCCGCCAGACCAGGAUAACAGACGGAAAACGACUGAUAAGACCUGGGUGUUGUCAGGGCUGACGCAUGUCAGGGCUGAUGAAAAGGAGACGCUGCGGGGAGAGCCUUGCGUCCUAUUAGCUUGUUGGUGGGGUAACGGCCCACCAAGGCGAUGAUAGGUAGCCGGCCUGAGAGGGUGAACGGCCACAAGGGGACUGAGAUACGGCCCUUACUCCUACGGGAGGCAGCAGUGGGGAAUAUUGGACAAUGGGGGGAACCCUGAUCCAGCAAUUCUGUGUGCACGAAGAAGGUUUUCGGAUUGUAAAGUGCUUUCAGCAGGGAAGAAGCAAGGACGGUACCGCAGAA